rnacentral:rRNA from 1 species
ACUCCUACGGGAGGCAGCAGUGGGGAAUAUUGCACAAUGGGGGGAAACCCUGAUGCAGCCAUGCCGCGUGUGUGAAGAAGGCCCUUGGGUUGUAAAGCACUUUCAGUAGGGAGGAAGGUAGUGUAGUUAACACCUGCAUUAUUUGUACGUUACCUACAGAAGAAGCACCGGCUAACUCCGUGCCAGCAGCCGCGGUAAGUACGGAGGGUGCGAGCGUUAAUCGGAAUUACUGGGCGUAAAGCGCAUGCAGGCGGCCUGUAAGUCAGAUGUGAAAGCCCGGGGUCUUAACCUCGGAAUUGCAUUUGAAACUGGCGAGGCUAGAGUCUUGUAGGAGGGGUUAGAAUUUCAGGUGUAGCGGUGAAAUGCGUAGAGAUCGUGAAGGAAUACCGAGUGGCG